rnacentral:tRNA from 1 species
GGCGCUAUAGUGUAGUGGUUAUCACUUGGGAUUCUGACCGCCAGUGUUCCCAAAACCCAGGUUCGAGCCCUGGUAGCGCCU